rnacentral:rRNA from 1 species
GAUGAACGCUAGCGGCAGGCUUAAUACAUGCAAGUCGUGGGGCAGCAGGUUUGUAGCAAUACAGACGCUGGCGACCGGCAAACGGGUGCGUAACACGUACGCAACUUACCCAUUACUGGUGAAUAGCCCAGGGAAACUUGGAUUAAUACACCAUAACAUAUAGAAAAGGCAUCUUUUUUAUAUUAAAGCUUCGGCGGUAGUGGAUGGGCGUGCGGUUGAUUAGAUAGUUGGCGGGGUAACGGCCCACCAA